GGCGUGUCGUGUAGUGUCGUGUACUUGCCGCGGCCGCAGCUGGACCCUUCUCCCCGCAGAAGAACCAGAACCCGGAGCAGCAGCAACAUGGACACGGAGCUGUUAAUGGAGUGUGUGGAAGAGGGGCUGGAGCCAUGGCAACAGGUGGAGGAAGAUGAUGAAGAUGAAGAGGAGGAGUACUGUCAACCAGAGGGCGAAUUUCUGUCUCCUCUCCCAGCCGCUGAGACCCCGCCCCCCCCCAGGCCCACUCCACCUGCCCCCCCUCCGACAG